rnacentral:tRNA from 1 species
AUUAAGGUGGCAGAAAGUGUCCAAGAUUUAAGCUCUUGUAAUGAAAUAUUAUAUUAAUUUCUCUUAAUA